rnacentral:rRNA from 1 species
UACGUAGGGUGCAAGCGUUGUCCGGAAUUAUUGGGCGUAAAGAGCUCGUAGGCGGUUCGUCGCGUCGGCUGUGAAAACCCGGAGCUCAACUCCGGGCCUGCAGUCGAUACGGGCGGACUAGAGUUCGGCAGGGGAGACUGGAAUUCCUGGUGUAGCGGUGAAAUGCGCAGAUAUCGGGAAGAACACCCGUGGCGAAGGCGGCACUCUGGGACGGUACUGACGCUGAGACGCGAAAGCGUGGGGAGCGAACAGG